ensembl:lncRNA
AAAAGUGAUAGUAAAGAAAAAUAUAUUAUUAGAAUAUAUAUUAUUAGAAUUUUAUUUUUUUAUUUUUGAAUAAAUGCAGUUCUUUUUAACCUUUUAUUCAUCAAAUAUAUUAGACAGCAGAACUGUUUCCAACACUCAUAAUAAAUCAGAGUAUUAGAAUGAUUUCUAAAUGAUCAUGUGAUAGACUGGAUGUUACAUGUGACACUGAAGGCUGGAGUAAUGAUGCUGAAAAUUCAGCUUUGCAUCACAGGAAUAAAUUAUUUUUUAAAAGUAUAUUCAAAUAGAAAACUAUUAUUUUAAGUUGUAAUAAUAUUUCACAAUAUUACUGUUUUUUCUGUAUUUUUGAUCAAAUAAAUGCAGGCUUGAUGAGCAGAAGAGACUUCUUUCAAAAACAUUAAAAAUAGUAAUGUUUCCAAACUUUUGGUCUGUACUGUGUGUAUAUAUAUAUAUAUAUAUAUAUAUAUAUAUAUAUAUAUAUAUAUAUAUAUAUAUAUAUAUAUAUAUAUAUUAUAAAAAACACUAUAAGAUUGUGUUCACUAACGUUAAUUAAAAGUUGACAUGAAUGAACAAUAAAUAAUAAAUUAAUAAAUGUAUGUAUCUUGAUUGAUGUUAAUUUCAUUGUUAAAUUUAAUGAAAAUUAUUUAAUUCGUUAUGAACUAAUUACUAGUCUAUGUGACCUUUCUGUAAAAGCGUCACAUUUUUCUCUCUCUUAUGGAGAUGAAAUGUGACCGGGACAUUUUUGUGAGAUUGGCCCUAUGAAGAGGUGCAGUUUGUGUAUUGAGCAAGACAAUCUUGCUCAGUCUUGAAAUCUCCCCCGUAGCUGUGGGGUUAAACAGAUGUUGUGUCUUGGAGAGGUUUUGGACUGCGUGGAUCUGGUUUGGUUGAUCAUCUGAAUGAUCCGCAUCCUUGUGUUUCUACCAAAGACUGCUUCAGCCACACACACAUCUGUACAUCCUGUAUAUAAACAUGAUCACAUGCUUUGGAGACUACGUUCACUGAAGGUCCAUCAUGAUAAAUUGUAUUUUUUUAACACUACGUAUGCAAAAAGCCAGAGAUGCAUCUGGCCACAGGGUGUCACUGUUGAGUGGCAUCUGUCUGGAUUUGAGCACAUGUCCACUGUUACUGCUCAUAUAAGCCAGCUGAUCACACCUGACUAA